ACUGAAGACAACAGAGCAGGAGGUACUUUUGCAUUUUGUCUUGUGGUGAAAGUCCCAAUGUGGGGUAACUCAAGAAGAUUUUCUCCUCAAGCAAAGGCUAACUCGUGGGGAAGAAUCACAAUUUUUUAAAAAUGACCAUUAAGAAGAUCAGCCAGAAUUUUAUGCAGAAAACAUGUAUUACUUGCAUCAUCAGAAAAAUAAAACUGCAUUAACUUAAAGAGGAAAAAAGAGGAAAUUAUCUGAAUAUUUUAAGCAAUUAUCUUAAGGAUAAAUUGGGUUUUCUCCUCACUCUCUCAAUGGCAGUCUCCUAUAACCUAAUGGCCCCAACUUUCACCUGUAAACUGGAGUUCCCAAAAUUUAUAUCCUCACACCCAUCUUUCAUAUAAGCCUCCAACUUACAUAUACCCAACUGACUACUUGGCAUCUCACUUUAUGUAUAUCACAACCUCUUCACAUUUAACACCUCAAAUACUGAAAUUCUUUCUUCUUUCAUGAUCUUCCCCCAAUUUUUACCUCCUUCUAGAUUCUUUCCUUCUAGAUUCUUGCUUUUACCUCCUUCUAGAUUCCUUCCAUACAAUCAAUUAUCAUUCCCAUUGUUCAAGUUACCCUAUGUCUCCUCUUUUCCUUCUUCCUUUAUCCUAUCAAUUUAUCUUAUUAUAACAGCUAACUUUUACUGAGCAUAAAUUCUGUGCCAGAUAUUAUUCUAAUUGCUUUAUACGUACUAUUACAUUUAAUCCUCACAACUCCAAUAAAUAAGUGCUAUUAUAACCCCCACUUUACAGAUAAAGAAACAGAAGUACAGAGAUGUUUUAUAAUUCUCUAUAUAAUGUCAUAAAAAUAGGCUAGUAGGAGAUCAAUGAUUUGGAUCCAGGCUGAUUUGCUCCAGAGCCUAGGCUCUUAACCUCAAUGCUAUACUGCUUUCUAAAAUUAUUGUGUAUUUAUAUAAAUUUAAAUGUGUGCAUUUUCAUCCCAUAGAUACUACCUAAAGUUCUGACCAUGAUGUAGGUAGAUAAUUCAUCCUUCAGAAUUAAGUUUCUAAUGCACAAAUGUUUUCUUGUCACCAUCCACUUAAUUUCAACGGAUCAUUUUCUGAAUUUGUCAUUUUCAGAGGCGUAUUGCUACAUUUGGGGCAAUGCGUACAUAUGUGGUUUCGUUAGCUCCAGCGGGGGCUAAUCCUCUGACAGAGCCACCUCUCACACGAAACACUGAAUGGAGGCGAUCCCGAGAUGGAUGGAGCAGCAGCAGCGCAGGUUGCUGCAGGUGUGGCUACAAGGAGAAGAUAGCUGUCUGCAAACUGUCCUCAUCAGACACUAGAUCUGCUGGUAUCUUGAUCUUGGACUUGGAAGCCUCCAGAUCUGGUUUGCGUCCUCAUCUGCCUUUCCAGACCAGCAGUUCCCAAAAGCCAGUGUGAGAACCAUCUGCAUCAGAGUGACCAGUCUGUGAAGAUCAAGCAUAGGAAUGCCAGGACUCCACCCUACAUGUCCUUUAUCUGGGGUGGUGCCCAGGCUUCCCGAUUAUUCUACCAACUCUACCAAAUCCUUGUUCUUCGUUGCACAAUUAGCUGUGAAACAGACAGAGGUUACCUACAAUAAGUGCAUGUCAUUUUGGACUAGCCAUAUUUCAAGGGCUCAGUAUGGCUAAUGGCCACUAUAUUGGACAUCGACGGUCAAACCCAUUUUACAUUCCCCUGACAACUAUGAUUGGUGUGAGGCCUAUGAUGGCCCAACUAGGCUGACAGCAAAGAUCUUUCCUGUUGGCAAAGAUCAUCUUUCUCUCUCCUGCUGGCAAGAACAAGAAAGAAUAAAGGUCUGAUCAACCCAUGAGCUUUCUUGGGAUUUAUGAGGAGAACCAGACUUUGGAUGAAACUGACAUUGAAAUGAGCAGGAUGGAGAGAAAAAUCCUAGGGGUUUGGUGACAAUACUGGGCUGCUGAUUAAACUUGGAGUUUGCCCUGACUCUGAACUUUCUAUUUAGUGAGAUAAUAAUUGUCUCAAUUGUUUAAGCUAGCUUGUGUUGCUUCCAGCUAAAAGAGUGCCAGCUAUAUACAAUGUGCAAGCUGACAUGUUGUCAUGCUCUGACACUGAUGAACACACCCCCACAAGGCUGUGAAGUAGUAGGGGAAGAACUAACCUGCAUGGAGUUGGAAGGGGGGGAAAAACAAAAUCAAACCAUAUGGAAAGCAGUUGAAUUCACUGCAUUAAAUAUACUUUUUAAAAUGUACAACAUAAUAGCCAUAUGUUUAAGUCAGAAUCAUCUGCAAAGCACGCAUGUUCACUUUCUGUUCCAGAGUCAGGCGUCUGAAUUCUGUGAGCAAAGCCUAGAGAAAAAAAACUAAGCCUAUGCCAGAUUUACAGGAAUAGUUAUCUUUAUAAAGACUAUAUGAACUGUAAUACAAAGUUACAAAGCUGAAGGCAAAGCUUUUCAAUAAAGCAAGUGGCUCUCAAAGAGAUACCUUCAAGAGUGUGGUUCUAUGUUUCCCACCUAGUGCUAAGUAAAACAUACAUUUCAAUUAGAAUUAGAAUGUACUUCAGGAAGUAAAUUAUUAAAUGACCUAGCACAUUUUGAUGUUUUUAAAAGCCCAAACUCCCAGCUGUGGAGAACAAUGAGUCUUUAAUGAUAAUUUAUUCCCCUCUUGUUCCCAUGAUUGCUAGAUAGCUGGGGGCCCUAGAUACUUAUUGGGCUCCAGGGACCCAAUGUGGGCAUUGUCAGAGGAGGAUACCAAUUAGCAGGUUUGGUUUCACAAAGAAGCAAAGAUUGCCCUGAGGUGAAAAACUCUGUCUCAGAGAAAACACCCUUGAACUUGAAUUGUCUUUUUUGCUCAUCAUUAGAAGUCAGCAAAGGAUUUAGCCUCUCCCUCACCAAUUCAUUAUCCACACUCUUCAGAAAAAAAAAAAUAAUAAUAAAAUAAAAUAUUUUCUCUUAUUAUGAAGGUGACAAUAAAGACAGUAAGCUUACCACAUGCAGAAAAGAGAGUGACCACUUUCUACUAGUUUUAAUGGCACUAUCACUGCUUCCAAAAAUUGCUUUAGGUCACUUACGGCCCCUGGAGAUAAACAUCUGAGGAUUCUGCAUAAGGUCCUUAAUGGGUGUUUUCAGGACAGCAUAAUUACCUGAGGCUUGUAAGAGUGAAAAGCAUCAGCCUCAAGGUUACUGAAUAAUGUAUGGUUGCCUGUUUGUCUAUUAGAGAGAGAUAAAGAAGAACAAAAAUCCAGUCACCAUAUGAAUCACAAUUUUAUUAUCUUUUUCAUUCAUUUAGUAUUUCAUUCAACACAUUUGAAAGCAUUUAUUAUGCACCAGGCACUGUACUAAACACUUUAGAUUCUAGUAUGAUUAAGACAGCAGAGUUCUACCCAUUGAGAUGUUCACAAUCUAGGUGGGGAAGGACAUGGAGAAUGAAGAAUAAGCAGACCAUUAAUUCCCAGAAAGGAGUAGGGUUACCUCUGGGCCCCUGCGGAGGUCAAUGAAGCUUUGUCUAUGGCCUUUAAGAGCUUUUCAUUU
rnacentral:lncRNA from 10 species